CACAAUGUGCGAGAGCACGAUGAGGGGAUCCCAAGUGCUGGCACGUAAGUGUCAGCUGUUUCUUAGUCUAAAAAACUGAGAGAGUAAGAGCUGGGUAAGACGGGUGCCAGCCGCCGCGGUAAUACCUGCAGCUCAAGUGGUGGCCGCUAUUAUUGGGCCUAAAACGUCCGUAGCCGGUUUAGUAAAUGCCUGGGUAAAUUGUGUAGCUUAACUAUACGAAUUCCGGGUAGACUGCUAAACUUGGGACCGGGAGAGGCUAGAGGUACUCCUGGGGUAGAGGUGAAAUUCUGUAAUCCUAGGGGGACCACCAGUGGCGAAGGCGUCUAGCUAGAACGGGUCUGACGGUGAGGGACGAAGCCCUGGGGCGCAAACCGGAUUAGAUACCCGGGUAGUCCAGGGUGUAAACGCUGCUUGCUUGAUGUUAGUUGGGCUCCGAGCCCAACUAGUGUCGGAGAGAAGUUGUUAAGCAAGCUGCCUGGGAAGUACGGUCGCAAGACUGAAACU
rnacentral:rRNA from 1 species